AAUAUUGGUCAAUGGGGGCAAACCUGAUCCAGCCAUGCCUCUUGUGUGAAGAAGGUCUUCGGAUUGUAAAGCACUUUAAGUUAGGAGGAAGUGCUUUAUGUUAAUACCAUGAAGUAUUGACGUUACGAACAGAAUAAGCACCGGCUAACGCUGUGCCAGCAGCCGCGGUAAUACAGAGGGUGCAAGCGUUAAUCGGAAUUACUGGGCGUAAAGCGCGCGUAGGUGGUUCAGUAAGAUGGGUGUGAAAUCCCCGGGCUUAACCUGGGAACUGCUUUCAUAACUGCUGAGCUAGAGUACGGUAGAGGGUAGUGGAAUUUCCUGUGUAGCGGUGAAAUGCGUAGAUAUAGGAAGGAACACCAGUGGCGAAGGCGACUACCUGGACUGAUUCUGACACUGAGGUGCGAAAGCGUGGGGAGCAAACAG
rnacentral:rRNA from 1 species